UACGGAGGGUGCAAGCGUUAUCCGGAUUUACUGGGUUUAAAGGGCGCGUAGGCGGCUUAACAAGUCACUUGUGAAAUCUCCGGGCUUAACUCGGAACGGCCAAGUGAAACUGUCAAGCUAGAGUGCAGAAGGGGCAAUCGGAAUUCUUGGUGUAGCGGUGAAAUGCGUAGAUAUCAAGAGGAACACCUGAGGUGAAGACGGGUUGCUGGGCUGACACUGACGCUGAGGCGCGAAAGCGUGGGGAGCAAACGGG
rnacentral:rRNA from 1 species